GGCGGCGGCGGCGGAAGGGGAAGCGCUGAAGCGGCGGGGCCGAGCAGCCAUGGAGGAGCCGGUGCGGGAGGAGCUCUCGGCCCUGGCCGCGAUUUUCUGCGGGCCCCACGAGUGGGAGGUGCUGAGCCGCUCAGAGACAGAUGGGACUGUGUUCAGAAUUCACACAAAAGCCGAAGGACUUACGGAUGUGGAUAUACCCUUGAAAUUGGUGUUCCAUUUGCCGGUCAAUUACCCUUUGUGUCUUCCUGGCAUCUCCGUUAACUCUGAAUACCUGACCAGGGCCCAGUGUGUGGCUGUGAAAGAGAAGUUGCUUGAGCAAGCAGAGAACCUUUUGUCAGAGCCUAUGGUCCAUGAGCUGGUUCUCUGGAUUCAGCAGAAUCUCAGGUAUAUCCUUAACCAGCCAGAAACUGGAAGUGGCAGUGAAAAGUGUACUUUUCCAACAAGCACGACUGUGGAUGAUGGAUUGUGGAUAACUCUUUUGCAUUUAGAUCACAUGAGAGCAAAGACUAAAUAUGUCAAAACCGUGGAGAAGUGGGCUUCAGAUUUAAGGCUGACAGGAAGACUAAUGUUCAUGGGGAAAAUAAUACUGAUUUUACUACAAGGAGACAAAAGCAACAUCAAGGUGCCAAAAAGUUAAAUGAGUACCUGAUUCUUCAGAAAACCUCCAAAGUAGAUGUGGACUCAAGUGGAAAGAAAUGCAAAGAAAAAAUGAUUAGUGUACUCUUUGAAACAAAAGUACAGACGGAACACAAAAGGUUUUUGGCAUUUGAAGUCAAAGAGUAUUCAUCGUUGGAUGAAUUACAAAAGGAAUUUGAAACCGCAGGACUUAAGAAGCUUUUCUCUGAAUUUGUACUUGGGCUGGUAAAAUGAAAUGGAAGAGAGGAAUCUUUUAGUAAAAUAGCAGUGUGUUUUGUUGUUUUUACACUGGAUUUUGGGAGUGGCUAAUUGAAAUAGUCACGAAGGAGCAAUUUUAAAGUUUCUCUGAAGCAAAAUGAUAGACAUCAUCUUAACUUUAGGAACAAAGCUAGUUCUGGUUUAUAAAGUAGUAAACAUUAAAAAACCUCAUGUAUUCUAAUGUUUGCCAGGAAAGACUAGGUUCAAUAGUUGAAACAUUAUUUGAAAGAUAAAUUUUAAAAAGGUGAUGGUAAAUUGGCCCUUGUUUUUAUAUAGAAAAUCUGUUUGAAAUUAUGCGAUUUUCUGGCUCAUUUUCUUGUAAAUAAAUGAAUUUUUAAAAAAGA